GGCUGGAAGAUGAGAGAACUCCCUCCUGAUGGUUUCUACUUGCCUUUGAAAUUCAUCAGCUAAGGGCGAGGAAGAGAAGUCGGGGUGUGAUUAUAUUAUAGAAGUCUCGUAUGUUUGACCCAACCACAAGAACCAUUGCACCAGAAGAGGCAAAAACCCCCUAAGAGGGAGAGAAGAGAAAACAGCAACUGGUCAAAGAGAGGAACAGAAGAGUAAAUCAGAAAAGGAAAUGGCCACCCCUGUCUAAUUAGAUGG